AAGAUAUGAUGUAGUGAUACCGCCCCAGUCUGACUUUAAUCUGACUGAUUGGUAACUCUCUGAUCUA